rnacentral:lncRNA from 1 species
AAAAAAUGGGUUGAAUUGUGUUAGAUUUCUUUUUAUUUUAUAAAAAACUCUUAACAUAUUCUGAACAUAAGGUCUAGAAUCUGAAUCAAAGUUAAAUGUUUAACAAUAAAUUAAAGAAGAUAAGGGGUAGAAAGGAAACCAAGGAAGACAUAAGCAAUUAUCCUAGUUCCUUCCAUAAAUCGAGAGUAAUUCAAUCCCCUUACCCUUUCCAAGGGAUUUCACUAUAAUCAAA